GGCCCCAAAACAUUUAUUUUGUAGAUGAAGGUUCAAAGAGAUAAAAUAUAUUUCCUGAAGUUAUAGAACAAGUUAGUGGUAGAGGAACAAUUAUUAAAACCCGAUAGUUAAUUCCCCAUGUUGGCUUUUUGCCAUUAAGUGUUUUCCCUGUCAAUCAAAACUCCUUGCAUCAUAAAAUAUGCAUCUCUUAGUAGUGGUCAUUUCUGGAAAGUUGUAUUUUAAAAUACUUUUUCCCCUACUGUUUAUCAUUGUUUUCUGACUUUUCUCCAUUUGCUAUGGGGGGAAAGAUUUUAAUGGUUAUAAUACUUUAAAAUAAUCCACAAAUGUUUAAAACUUGUUUUUGUGAAAUGUAAAUUCUAUUAGUAUUUGAAUUGAUUUAAUCACUACUGGAAAGAUAAAAGAAAACUAUCAGGUGUGUUCUAGUGAGCUUAGAAAGCAUUGCACACUAAGGACAUUUUCUUCAAUUAGAGGAGGUGUUCUUCUGAUGGUCACUGUGCUUGUGUUUGUAUUCCAAACAUUUUACUGAACUAUGAAAUUAGUAACCAGAUUCUGAGGAUUAUAUAUGCAUUUUCAGAAAGGUCAUUAGUAUUAUAAAAAUAUGUUAUUAUGCUGAUGAAUUAAGAAACAGUCCGUAUUCUAAAGUCUUUAACACAGCACCAAAAGUAAUUAACUUUACACUCUGGAAGUGCUUUUCUCAAACGAGCUUAAAGUUUCAGGGGUGACAAAGAAAGCACAAAGCUUUGAGUAGGAUCUUUGUCAUACUUUUAGUUUCCUUUUCUGAAAUAACUCUUUUGACUCUUCCCUUGUAUUUUUCGCACUGGAUUUUGAUCAUUUUUCUUUUCCUUAAACUGUCGUGAAUUAAGAAUAUCACACUUAGUAUUUUAUAAAAUUUUAUAAUGUUAGAUAAGUUUAUAUCCUGUAAUACUCUUACUGUUCAGAUGGUAAAUGAGAUCUGGAGAAAUUAGGCAGUUGCCCACUGGUCAUGUCAUGUGUCAGUUGAUUCUAGAGGCGAGGACGGGUUAGAACGCAGGGCUUUCAUCCUGUCAACACACUGCGCUGCUGCUUUCUCACUCGGCUAAGGUCUUAAUAAUGUUUUGAGACAAAGACAUAUUUUUAACAAGUUUUUCUGUUGAUAGUUUAUCCUAUUCCAAUAAAUUUUUAUCUUGUUUUAGAUGAGCUACUUUUGCCUCAUAUGAAAAAAAUAGAUAGCAUGCUGAAUAAUAAUCGAAAGAGACUUCUUUUGAAUCUCCAUUUGGAUCAGUCAUUCAAGAGUGCUUUGGAAAGUUUUCCUGAACUAACAAUAAUUACUCGAGACUCUAAAGCAAAAAGUGGGGGAUCUGCCAUUUCUAAAAUCAAAAUGAAUGGCAGAGCUUACAAUAAGAAAACUCUAAGGACUUCUAAGACAACCACUAAAUCUGCACAAGAGUUUGCUGUUGAUCCAGAGAAAAUACAGUUGUAUUCUUUAUAUCAUUCACUGCAUCAUUAUAAAUAUCAUGUUUAUCUCAUAUGUAAAGAGGAGAUUUCUUCUGUGCAGAAAAGAAAUGAAGAUUGAGGACAGGAAGAAAUUGUUCAACUUUGUAUGAAAAAUGUAAAAUGGGUGGAAGACCUAUUUGAAAAAUUUGGAGAACUUCUAAAUCAUGUUGAGCAGAAAUGUUCCUAACAAUUUCCACAAAAGUGCCGUCUAUUUUGUAGCACUAAUGAGAUGGCAGAGAGGGGUGAUCAAAGAGGGUCUGGGGCCUCAGACAAUCGAAUAUCAAGCAGUGGUCUCCUGCAGGCCCGCCUGCUCCGAUCAGGGAACUGGCAUCGUGACCUCUGCUGAAGGACAGUGGUGCUGCCAAGGAAUUCAGUCCUUCGGAAGUGGACCUAAAUCCCACGACAUGUGUAUCCUAAUGAAUGAUUUUUCUAUUUUGUAAACCAUUGCGUAACUGAGUUUUCUUUUCAGAAGUGUUUUUUGACAAAUGAUGAAGCAUGCACUAAAUACAAUUUUUCUUUAUUGCUAGAGAGAUAACACUUAAGUAACUUGAUAAUUUUUUCCUGACUCUGACUAAACAGCAGGAUGAAAGAAAGGGGGCAGAAAGCCUAUGUUUGCAUUCAUGUCUGGCCAUGAAAUGGAAAGUAUUGUAUGUUAUGAAAACAGAUCUGGUGUGAUGUGACAUUUUGUACGAAAAUAUCAGCAGUUUAAAAUAUGAAAUUCAGAAACUGCAUUCUGCUUUACGAACUCCUUUUACUCUUAACAUGUUCAGGAAACUGGAUGUGGAAUUGGUGCAAUUCUAUGAGUGCUUUUCGUGUCAAAUUAUGUUGUGAUGAAAAAAACAAUGACAUACUAUUUUCCCUAUCUCAAAGAAAAGUAUUUUCCUUUAUACAUUUUUUCCUUUGGAAAAAUUUUCAGUCGUACAUUUUAUUCCACUAAUAGUUGUAUUUUUCACAAGGAAAGUGUUGUGGUUGUAAUUAUGUUUGAUGUAUCUGUACUACACUUUUCAUUAUUUUCAGUAAAUCUUAUUUAGAUAUAUAUUGAAUUUCUAUUGUGAAUUCUAUCUUGUGGUAACCAUUUUUGUUUAUACAGAUUCCCUUCAGUGUUAUCCAGAAUAUGCAUUUAGUACUAGAAUUAGUUUAGCUUUAUAAAUAGGGUUGUGUUAGACACUGCAGUAAUUUCCUGAUUCAUGAAAAUAAAUUUCUUACUAAAUUAGCACUUGA